rnacentral:rRNA from 1 species
GAGUAACACUGGGUGAUCUGCCUUGCACUUCGGGAUAAGCUUGGGAAACUGGGUCUAAUACCGGAUAGGACAGCUGUUUAGUGUCAGUUGUGGAAAGUUUUUUCGGUGCAAGAUGAGCUUGCGGCCUAUCAGCUUGUUGGUGGGGUAAUGGCCUACCAAGGCGUCGACGGGUAGCCGGCCUGAGAGGGUGUACGGCCACAUUGGGACUGAGAUACGGCCCAGACUCCUACGGGAGGCAGCAGUGGGGAAUAUUGCACAAUGGGCGGAAGCCUGAUGCAGCGACGCCGCGUGGGGGAUGAAGGCCUUCGGGUUGUAAACUCCUUUCGACAGGGACGAAGCGUAAGUGACGGUACCUGUAUAAGAAGCACCGGCUAACUACGUGCCAGCAGCCGCGGUAAUACGUAGGGUGCGAGCGUUGUCCGGAAUUACUGGGCGUAAAGAGCUCGUAGGUGGUUUGUCGCGUCGUCUGUGAAAUUCCGGGGCUUAACUCCGGGCGUGCAGGCGAUACGGGCUGACUUGAGUGCUGUAGGGGAGACUGGAAUUCCUGGUGUAGCGGUGAAAUGCGCAGAUAUCAGGAGGAACACCGAUGGCGAAGGCAGGUCUCUGGGCAGUAACUGACGCUGAGGAGCGAAAGCAUGGGUAGCGAACAGGAUUAGAUACCCUGGUAGUCCAUGCCGUAAACGGUGGGCGCUAGGUGUAGGGGGCUUCCACGUCUUCUGUGCCGUAGCUACGCAUUAAGCGCCCCGCC